AGGGAUCAUUACCGAGUUUACAACUCCCAAACCCAAUGUGAACCAUACCAAACUGUUGCCUCGGCGGGGUCACGCCCCGGGUGCGUCGCAGCCCCGGAACCAGGCGCCCGCCGGAGGGACCAACCAAACUCUUUUCUGUAGUCCCCUCGCGGACGUUAUUUCUUACAGCUCUGAGCAAAAAUUCAAAAUGAAUCAAAACUUUCAACAACGGAUCUCUUGGUUCUGGCAUCGAUGAAGAACGCAGCGAAAUGCGAUAAGUAAUGUGAAUUGCAGAAUUCAGUGAAUCAUCGGAUCUUUGAACGCACAUUGCGCCCGCCAGUAUUCUGGCGGGCAUGCCUGUCCGAGCGUCAUUUCAACCCUCGAACCCCUCCGGGGGGUCGGCGUUGGGGAUCGGGAACCCCUAAGACGGGAUCCCGGCCCCGAAAUACAGUGGCGGUCUCGCCGCAGCCUCUCCUGCGCAGUAGUUUGCACAACUCGCACCGGGAGCGCGGCGCGUCCACGUCCGUAAAACACCCAACUUCUGAAAUGUUGACCUCGGAUCAGGUAGGAAUACCCGCUGAACUUAA
rnacentral:rRNA from 1 species